AUCUGUCGGUAUUUAACGACUUUUAUAUACUAAAAGUGGGGGAUUUGAUCACUUCCGUAAUUAAGUUUUAUAAAUAAAAAGAGUAAAUUAGCAAUAUUUCAGGGCACUAACUAAAUAGUAAAAUCAUCAUCCUCUUUGCCGUGUGCCUACAAUUGAAUUCUGAAUACACAAAACAAAGAGAUGCCGUCAAUCCUCAACAUCUGUUGGUAAUUCAUCUGACUCAUUGCCUCUCUGACACUCAUACUUGUCAUCCUCUUUUACCCAAUCUCACUAAAAGCAAAAACCCUCAAUCCUAUUAUUCCCAAACGAAAGAGAAACGACUGAGAGAUCUAGUGCCAAAUAUAGGACAACAAAUGUGAUCAGAAGUUUUUUUUUGGUGAACCUUUUGGCUUUAAUUGUGAAAUCUCGCCUAAUUCUUUAGUUCAAGUUGAUAGUUCUUGUUUGAUUGAUUUCAACAAGGUUGACUAUUUGAAGACAAGCUUUUAUAAUAUCUUCUCAGGUUCUUUUUCUUGUUUUCCCCUUCCUCUGCCACAGCACAAUGAGAGAUUCAGGAAUUUGGCUAUUGCUUGCUCGUGGAGAGUGUUAAUCGUUUGGCCUUACAAUUCAGGCUUUGGUUGCUAGUGCUGGUGGAGUUGGAAUACUAAUGGAAUUUCUUGACAUAGCUCUGUAAAGUUGGUAAUGCCAUACAUGUCCCACAGAAUGAUAGGGAGUUUGAUUAUUGGGAAGCAAGUCAAAGAAAAUUGGGAGGACUAAAGAGAAUGAAACUUGCAAAAUUUGGCAGAGCUAAUGAGAGAAUGGGAAGAUGCAGUCUCCCAAUUAAACACAGAAUGAAGCUUUCAAAGGUUGGGAGAGUUAAAUACAGAAUGAAACAAGAAGUUUUCAAGAUUGGGAAGAUGCCGUAUACCAUCUAUAUGCCAAGUGAUAGAGUAACAAUCACCCCAAAGCGUAUCACAAGAUACUCUACCAGUCUCAUUCUACUCAUCUAUUGUCAAGAAUAGAGGCCAGACAUUCAACCAUAUGUUAAAGAUUUCAUACCAAUUGUUUAACUUUUAUGAAUAUUUUCUAUGGCUUUUUCUAUGACUUUGAAUUCUAUUAUUGUACUUUAUCAUCUUUUACAGUAGGAGUGAUGUAAAGAUUUGAUGUUAUGAUUAUGUUGUAGAUUCCCAGCUCUUUCAUGAA